CUUGUCGAGUCCGCAUCAGCCCCCAGGAGUGUGUCUGCCGCACACUUGACCGGCAUCCGUCAUGCACAAGAAGCAGAAGAAAGGCUGAAAGCCCUGGUCUGUUUCACACCUGAGUGAAAAAUUAAGUCUUUUCAUCCGUGAGGACUUCAGUCCUAGAGUAACGACCCGGGCCGCUGGACUCCCGAGGGGGCUUCCGUCUGCUCCAUCACUCAGGACCCCAAUCCCAGAGCUGAGACGGGGCAGGCCCUGAUUUUUCCUGCAGUGCGUCUACCGCAAU
rnacentral:lncRNA from 1 species